CUGGUGUCAUUAUUACAGUGUUCCUCUACAUCGUUAUAGUCAUCUGCUCCUUGACAAUACUCUACAUGUACUUUCUCAGAAUCGUGGAAUCCUGGAUGGGCUGGUGAUUAAACUUGUAAGCUUGGGAGUUGUUGGAUGUGAAGAUUCACGCAAAAUGCAAUUCAAGUAGGUGGCAGUGUAUGAUUACUUCUGGACAGAAGAUCCCUGUGUUGGAGAUCCCAGCUGUGACCCCCAGUAUCGCUGUGAAACCUCAGGAUUUGCAGAUGGUCAUGAAGAAAUCACAACUCAGCUGUCUAUCUACACUGUCCACCUCUGUGGGCUCAGAAAUCUCUGCCGCCACUUUCUCUGUCUGCCUGAUGGGACCAUUGCUGAGGUGGACUGCUGUCUUCACUCAGAAAGUUGGUGUUGUACCAGUUAUGUGGAGUUUCAUCCUCAAAUAUAUUAAAGGAAAUAGAUGGAAUGUCACUCAUUUUUGGCUGUGGUUUUGUAACUAAUAACAAA